rnacentral:rRNA from 4 species
GGGUUGUGAGGUUAAGCGACUAAGCGUACACGGUGGAUGCCCUGGCAGUCAGAGGCGAUGAAGGGCGUGCUAAUCUGCGAUAAGCGCCGGUAAGGUGAUAUGAACCGUUAUAACCGGCGAUACCCGAAUGGGGAAACCCAGUGUGAUUCGUCACACUAUCAUUAACUGAAUCCAUAGGUUAAUGAGGCGAACCGGGGGAACUGAAACAUCUAAGUACCCCGAGGAAAAGAAAUCAACCGAGAUUCCCCCAGUAGCGGCGAGCGAACGGGGAGGAGCCCAGAGCCUGAAUCAGCAUGUGUGUUAGUGGAAGCGUCUGGAAAGGCGCGCGAUACAGGGUGACAGCCCCGUACACAAAAGCGCAUAUGCUGUGAGCUCGAUGAGUAGGGCGGGACACGUGGUAUCCUGUCUGAAUAUGGGGGGACCAUCCUCCAAGGCUAAAUACUCCUGACUGACCGAUAGUGAACCAGUACCGUGAGGGAAAGGCGAAAAGAACCCCGGCGAGGGGAGUGAAAAAGAACCUGAAACCGUGUACGUACAAGCAGUGGGAGCCCCACCACUAAGCCAGUGGUGAACUCCACAUACGCAUCCUUUGCUGAGGAUACGGUUAACGGAGCGAAAGCGACGUUCAACCUCAAAAGAAGCAGAGGGGGCUUAGUGGUGGGGUGACUGCGUACCUUUUGUAUAAUGGGUCAGCGACUUAUAUUCUGUAGCAAGGUUAACCGAAUAGGGGAGCCGGAGGGAAACCGAGUCUUAAUUGGGCGUUAAGUUGCAGGGUAUAGACCCGAAACCCGGUGAUCUAGCCAUGGGCAGGUUGAAGGUUGGGUAACACUAACUGGAGGACCGAACCGACUAAUGUUGAAAAAUUAGCGGAUGACCUGUGGCUGGGGGUGAAAGGCCAAUCAAACCGGGAGAUAGCUGGUUCUCCCCGAAAGCUAUUUAGGUAGCGCCUCGUGAAUUCAUCUCCGGGGGUAGAGCACUGUUUCGGCUAGGGGGCCAUCCCGGCUUACCAACCCGAUGCAAACUGCGAAUACCGGAGAAUGUUAUCACGGGAGACACACGGCGGGUGCUAACGUCCGUCGUGAAGAGGGAAACAACCCAGACCGCCAGCUAAGGUCCCAAAGUCAUGGUUAAGUGGGAAACGAUGUGGGAAGGCCCAGACAGCCAGGAUGUUGGCUUAGAAGCAGCCAUCAUUUAAAGAAAGCGUAAUAGCUCACUGGUCGAGUCGGCCUGCGCGGAAGAUGUAACGGGGCUAAACCAUGCACCGAAGCUGCGGCAGCGACGCUGAUGCGUUGUUGGGUAGGGGAGCGUUCUGUAAGCCUGUGAAGGUGGCCUGUGAGGGUUGCUGGAGGUAUCAGAAGUGCGAAUGCUGACAUAAGUAACGAUAAAGCGGGUGAAAAGCCCGCUCGCCGGAAGACCAAGGGUUCCUGUCCAACGUUAAUCGGGGCAGGGUGAGUCGACCCCUAAGGCGAGGCCGAAAGGCGUAGUCGAUGGGAAACGGGUUAAUAUUCCCGUACUUGGUGUUACUGCGAAGGGGGGACGGAGAAGGCUAUGUUGGCCGGGCGACGGUUGUCCCGGUUUAAGCGUGUAGGCUGGUUUUCCAGGCAAAUCCGGAAAAUCAAGGCUGAGGCGUGAUGACGAGGCACUACGGUGCUGAAGCAACAAAUGCCCUGCUUCCAGGAAAAGCCUCUAAGCAUCAGGUAACAUCAAAUCGUACCCCAAACCGACACAGGUGGUCAGGUAGAGAAUACCAAGGCGCUUGAGAGAACUCGGGUGAAGGAACUAGGCAAAAUGGUGCCGUAACUUCGGGAGAAGGCACGCUGACAUGUAGGUGAAGUGAUUUACUCAUGGAGCUGAAGUCAGUCGAAGAUACCAGCUGGCUGCAACUGUUUAUUAAAAACACAGCACUGUGCAAACACGAAAGUGGACGUAUACGGUGUGACGCCUGCCCGGUGCCGGAAGGUUAAUUGAUGGGGUCAGCGCAAGCGAAGCUCCUGAUCGAAGCCCCGGUAAACGGCGGCCGUAACUAUAACGGUCCUAAGGUAGCGAAAUUCCUUGUCGGGUAAGUUCCGACCUGCACGAAUGGCGUAAUGAUGGCCAGGCUGUCUCCACCCGAGACUCAGUGAAAUUGAACUCGCUGUGAAGAUGCAGUGUACCCGCGGCAAGACGGAAAGACCCCGUGAACCUUUACUAUAGCUUGACACUGAACAUUGAGCCUUGAUGUGUAGGAUAGGUGGGAGGCUUUGAAGUGUGGACGCCAGUCUGCAUGGAGCCGACCUUGAAAUACCACCCUUUAAUGUUUGAUGUUCUAACGUGGACCCGUAAUCCGGGUUGCGGACAGUGUCUGGUGGGUAGUUUGACUGGGGCGGUCUCCUCCUAAAGAGUAACGGAGGAGCACGAAGGUUGGCUAAUCCUGGUCGGACAUCAGGAGGUUAGUGCAAUGGCAUAAGCCAGCUUGACUGCGAGCGUGACGGCGCGAGCAGGUGCGAAAGCAGGUCAUAGUGAUCCGGUGGUUCUGAAUGGAAGGGCCAUCGCUCAACGGAUAAAAGGUACUCCGGGGAUAACAGGCUGAUACCGCCCAAGAGUUCAUAUCGACGGCGGUGUUUGGCACCUCGAUGUCGGCUCAUCACAUCCUGGGGCUGAAGUAGGUCCCAAGGGUAUGGCUGUUCGCCAUUUAAAGUGGUACGCGAGCUGGGUUUAGAACGUCGUGAGACAGUUCGGUCCCUAUCUGCCGUGGGCGCUGGAGAACUGAGGGGGGCUGCUCCUAGUACGAGAGGACCGGAGUGGACGCAUCACUGGUGUUCGGGUUGUCAUGCCAAUGGCACUGCCCGGUAGCUAAAUGCGGAAGAGAUAAGUGCUGAAAGCAUCUAAGCACGAAACUUGCCCCGAGAUGAGUUCUCCCUGAGACUUAGAGUCUCCUGAAGGAACGUUGAAGACGACGACGUUGAUAGGCCGGGUGUGUAAGCGCAGCGAUGCGUUGAGCUAACCGGUACUAAUGAACCGUGAGGCUUAACCUUACAACGCCGAAG